CGGGGCUAUUCAUUACCGGAGUUUUUGAAUAACUGGAGACGAUUACAAACGUGUACGUCUUUAUCUGAGUAACAUCGACAGAGUAACUGGCACUUUUUAAUUUAUUUAUUUAAUUAUUUGAGUCGAAGGAGGAAAUGCGAGAUUGGAUUUAACAUGGGAGCGCCAGCAGCAGCUGGGAUAAGUGAUGGAUGGAGCGAGUUUUACUGCGGUCCGGGAUUUUCCAAACAGGGGGCUGGAAAGGAAUUGCACUGGAGCACAACAGGGGAAAACUCCAACAGCCAAAGUUGCUGUAAAAUGUUUUGAAUAGUUCAUAACAUUUUCAGUGGUCAUUGAAAACAAAGGCAAGCUCAAUUUCCCUUGAUGGAGGAAUUUGGAUAUACCGCUUAACAAAA